UACGUAGGGUGCAAGCGUUGUCCGGAAUUAUUGGGCGUAAAGAGCUCGUAGGCGGUCUGUCACGUCUGCUGUGAAAACUCGGGGCUUAACCCCGGGCCUGCAGUGGGUACGGGCAGACUAGAGUGCGGUAGGGGAGACUGGAAUUCCUGGUGUAGCGGUGAAAUGCGCAGAUAUCGGGAGGAACAUCUGUGGCGAAGGCGGGCUACUGGGCCGAUACUGACGCUGAUGCGCGAAAGCCAGGGGAGCGAACGGG
rnacentral:rRNA from 1 species